rnacentral:rRNA from 2 species
UGGGGAAUAUUGCACAAUGGGGGAAACCCUGAUGCAGCGACGCCGCGUGAGUGAAGAAGUAUUUCGGUAUGUAAAGCUCUAUCAGCAGGGAAGAAAAUGACGGUACCUGACUAAGAAGCCCCGGCUAACUACGUGCCAGCAGCCGCGGUAAUACGUAGGGGGCAAGCGUUAUCCGGAUUUACUGGGUGUAAAGGGAGCGUAGGUGGUUCGGUAAGUCAGAUGUGAAAGCCCGGGGCUCAACCCCGGGACUGCAUUUGAAACUAUCGUACUAGAGUGCAGGAGAGGUAAGUGGAAUUCCCAGUGUAGCGGUGAAAUGCGUAGAGAUUGGGAGGAACACCAGUGGCGAAGGCGACUUACUGGGCCGUAACUGACGCUGAGGCGCGAAAGCGUGGGGAGCGAACAGG